GAUGAAGAACGUAGCGAAAUGCGAUACGUAAUGUGAAUUGCAGAAUUCAGUGAAUCAUCGAAUCUUUGAACGCAUAUUGCGCUCUCUGGUAUUCCGGAGAGCAUGCUUGUUUGAGUAUCAGUAAACACCUCAACUCCCUUUUCUUUUUUGAAAUUGGAGCUGGACUUGAGUGAUCCCAACGCUUUCUUCCAAGAAAGUGGCGGGUUGCUUGAAAUGCAGGUGCAGCUGAACUUUUCUCUGGGCUAUAAGCAUAUCUAUUUAGUCUGCCUAAAAACAGAUUAUUACCUUUGCUGCAGCUAACAUAAAGGAGAUUAGUUCUUGUGCUGACUGAUGCAGGAUUCACAAAGACAGGCUUCGGCCGACUUUGUAAACUCGAUCUCAAAUCAAGUAAGACUACCCGCUGAACUUAAGCAUAUCGAUAAGCGGAGAA
rnacentral:misc_RNA from 1 species